CGCGGUAAUGCAUUUGUUAAUUUUGUUUAUUUUGUAAAAAUGUUCGACAAUAUUUGCUGUUCUUCUGGCAAAAUUGAAGAUGAAAUGCGUAUUUUAUCACAUAAUAUCUAUUUUAAUAUUUCUGCAGUUUUUUAAAACCUGCCGAGCACAAUCUGUGGUGAAUAUUUUGACUGGAAUGUACCCAAACAAUGUUCUUUGAAUACCUGUGUACCAGCAAUCUGGAAAUAUUAAAGUUGAGUUGAGUGAAGAAGCUCAGAUACACAAGGUACGAAUAGACUGUCAUAUUUUAAUCAUUGAAGUGGGUGGAACAAACGUGACUUUUGUAAGUGGGGAUGUACUAGUAGGAGAAAGACAAACUUCCAUUACUUUUAGCAUUGUCUCACCUGGCCGUCCUGUCAAGGUGAAAUGCACUGCCCAAAGUGUUGGCGGUGAUCAAUUUGUUUCAGCUUCUUCUACUGGUAUAACAAGUUAUAUUCAAGUAACAAAAAGACCAACUGUUAGUCUAUGCUCAGAUGUUGUUGUUGUUCCACAAGAUCCAUCAAGAAAUAGAAUUGUGCAGGUUUUAUUAAGGUUUGCAUAAUCUACAGUCUCUUGGAUGUCAAAUUCAUCAUUCAUUGCCUUAAGACAAGUGAGAAGUUGGAUGAUCAUUGUUCAGACUUAAUGCAUCCAGUAGUUUAUCAAUUUUAUUAUAUUUAAGCAGUUAA